GCAGUAGGCUGUUUCAUCGCUUUAUUCGUAAAGAGGAAAGUCCGGGCAACAAAGAGUACCAAACUCUCGAAAGUAGAGAUGUUCGCGAGGGUAUAGUAACAGAGAAGAAAAUAACCGCUUUAAUUCGUUAAAGUAAGGGUGAGAAGGUGAGGUAAGAGCUCACCAGUUUCGGUAGCAAUAUCGAAUGCUGUCUGUCUUUUGGGUUGCAAGACCAUGUAUACCGGCAAUUAAGAGCUACUCGUUCAAUGUCGGGGGGUAGGUUGCGUAGAUAAAUGAUGAAAAAUACGAUUCGUCGUAACACAGGACCCGGCUUAUAGGCCUACUGCUUUU
rnacentral:RNase_P_RNA from 1 species